rnacentral:rRNA from 1 species
AUGGGUGCCACGGAGUGCGACGACGGGCCGGCGAUCAGCAUCGACCUCGGGACGACCUACUCCUGCGUGGCCGUGUGGCGGCAGUCGCACAACCGCGUGGAGGUCAUCCCUCACGACCAGGGCAACUUCACCACGCCGUCCUGCGUUGCCUUCACCGACGCUUGGAGGCUCAUCGGCGACGCGGCUGUGAAUCAGGCCGCCAUGAACCCCGUCAAUACCAUCUUCGAUGUGAAGCGACUUAUCGGCCGGCAUUUCAGCGAUGCAUCAGUGCAAGGAGACCUGAAGACGUGCACGUGGCCAUUCAAAGUUGUCUCAGGUCCCAGUGACCGGCCGAUGAUCGUUGUGCAGUACAUGGACGAGGAGAAGCAGUUUGAGGCCGAGGAGAUCUCGGCAAUGGUUCUUGGCAAGAUGCGGGAGACCGCCGAGGCUUACCUUGGCACGGAAGUGAAGAAUGCGGUCAUUACUGUCCCGGUCUACUUCACUGACUCACAGCGCCAGGCCACCAUUGAUGCUGGCACCAUCGCCGGCCUCAAUGUCAUGCGCAUCAUCAACGAGCCCUCUGCCGCAGCCCUUGCCUACGGUUUGGGCAAGAUGUCGCCCAGUGAUGAUGUCAAGACUGUGCUCGUGUUCGAGCUCGGUGGCGGUACCUUGGAUGUCUCCAUUGUCAAAGUUGAUCCGGGUGCCGACAUUGACAUGGGUGUCUUUGAAGUAAUGGCCGCAGCUGGUGACACCCACCUUGGCGGGGAGGAUUUCAACACCCUCAUGGUGAAACACUUCGUGGGAGAGUUUCUUAAAAAGUACAAGAAGAAUGACAUCAGGAAAAAACAAAAGGCGCUUCGCCGGCUCAGGACGGCCUGUGAGAAGGCCAAGAGAAUGCUCUCCUGUGCAUCACUGGCAACCAUUGAGAUCGGCUCGCUUCAUGAUGGCAUCGACUUCUAUGGGGUCAUCACCCGCACAAAGUUUGAGGAGCUCAAUAUGGAACUCUUCCGCAAGUGCAUUGUGCAUGUGGAGAAGUGCCUCAGCGACGCCAACAUGGACAAGUCUAUGAUCGACGACGUCGUGCUCGUGGGAGGCUCCUCCCGGAUCCCAAAAGUCCAAGAGCUGCUCCGAAAUUUCUUUGACGGGAAGGAGCUCUUCACGAGUAUCAACCCUGACGAGGCCGUCGCCUACGGUGCCGCCGUACAGGCCGCGCUCCUCAACGGCGAGGGCUGCAAGGAUGUGCGGGAUGUAGUCCUGCUCGAGGUCACACCGCUCUCGCUUGGGGUGGAGACGAAAGGUGGUUUCAUGAGCGUGCUGAUCCCGAGGACCACUACCAUCCCGGUCAAGAAGGAGAGGGUUUAUACGACUUGCUAUGACAAUCAGACCGAAGUGCUCAUUCAGGUGUACCAGGGCGAGGGAUCGGAAACCAAGUACAAUAUCCUCCUCGGGAAGUUCACUCUCAGUGGCAUCCGCCGAGCACCCAGCGGCGAGCCGAAGAUCAAUGUCACGUUUGAAAUAGAUGCUGACAGCAUUCUGCAGGUAACGGCGAAGGACAUGGUAUAG